rnacentral:lncRNA from 1 species
AGAACAUACAGGUUCUAAUAGACAUGUAUUGGUUUAAUUUUGCAUGAAAAACUUUGGGUUUUCAUGGGUGAUAUGUUUAAGAGAAAACUUCAGGUUUUCAAACAAGGCAUGUUUAUAAGAAACUUCGGGUUUCAAAGUAAUUAUGAACUUCAGGUUCAUAUAUUCUUGCAGGCAAACACAAAUAUAUAUGCAAACAAAUAUGCAACAAAUAUAUGCAAAAAUAUUGUAUAAUGAUAAUUG